AGGAAGAGUAAUUAACAUGGAUUUUUUGUAUAUAUAUAUAACACAAAUUCUUUUAAUUACUCUUCUUUAAUGGUGCUCAAACUAUUUGCACAUUGAAAUUUCAAACCCUGGUCAACAAGAAUGCGAGAACGUAACCUACCCUCUAAACAUUCUUGCAAGAUCAUACGACCGAGCUCUGAGUUGUUUUUGCUGGAAUCCGCCAGUUCCAAAAACUGGGUUUUAGUCAUCCGCACCUUCAUCCUUAAAUUAGUUGACGAGAUAGUGUUGAUAUGGCUCAUAAAAUUGUC
rnacentral:lncRNA from 1 species